rnacentral:rRNA from 1 species
CGGAGAGGGAGCAUGAGAAACGGCUACCACAUCUAAGGAAGGCAGCAGGCGCGAAAAUUACCCAAUACUAAUACAGUGAGGUAGUAACAAUAAAUAACACAGCCCAGCAUUUCAUGUUGGGCUUUUGGAAUGAGAACAAUUUAAAUCCAUUAUCGAGGAUCAAUUGGAGGGCAAGUCUGGUGCCAGCAGCCGCGGUAAUUCCAGCUCCAAUAGCGUAUAUUAAAGUUGCUGCAGUUAAAAAGCUCGUAGUUGGAUUUCUAGCGAGGCACGAGAAUAUCCACCUAUGGUGAAUACUUCUCUCGCCUUGCUCUUCUUUAGUUGAUGUCUCUGGCAUUAAGUUGUCGGAGUCCUGAGACUAAUCGUUUACUGUGAGAAAAUUAGAGUGUUCAAAGCAGGCUUAUGCCGUUGAAUAUAUUAGCAUGGAAUAAUAAGAUAGGACUUCGGUACUAUUUUGUUGGUUUGCGUACUGAUGUAAUGAUAAAUAGGGACUGGCGUGGGUAUUCGUAUUUUAAUGUCAGAGGUGAAAUUCUUAGAUUAUUGAAAGGCGGACGACUGCGAAAGCAUCUACCAAGUAUGUUUUCAUUAAUCAAGAACGAAAGUAUGGCGAUCGAAGAUGAUUAGAUACCAUCGUAGUCUAUACCAUAAACUAUG